GAUGAACGCUGGCGGCGUGCCUAAUACAUGCAAGUCGAGCGAACGGACGAGAAGCUUGCUUUUCUGAUGUUAGCGGCGGACGGGUGAGUAACACGUGGAUAACCUACCUAUAAGACUGGGAUAACUUCGGGAAACCGGAGCUAAUACCGGAUAAUAUUUUGAACCGCAUGGUUCAAAAGUGAAAGACGGUCUUGCUGUCACUUAUAGAUGGAUCCGCGCUGCAUUAGCUAGUUGGUAAGGUAACGGCUUACCAAGGCAACGAUGCAUAGCCGACCUGAGAGGAUGAUCAGCCACACUGGAACUGAGACACGGUCCAGACUCCUACGGGAGGCAGCAGUGGGGAAUCUUCGGCAAUGGGCGAAAGCCUGACGGAGCAACGCCGCGUGAGUGAUGAAGGUCUUCGGAUCGUAAAACUCUGUUAUUAGGGAAGAACAUAUGUGUAAGUAACUGUGCACAUCUUGACGGUACCUAAACAGAAAGCCACGGCUAACUUCGUG
rnacentral:rRNA from 1 species